GAAGCAUGCAUGAUGCCAUGAUGGUAUUUAAUUCCAUCUAGGUAGUCACGGGGUUUGGAUUUGCGGACACUAAGCAGACAUCUAUUACAUGUGGAUAUAAUUGUUGGUGAGGGGAAUAUCUUUCGUGGAGUCUCAAGGGCAGCAAGGCAGGAAGUUUUGGCCUUGAUCAUUCAUCUGCAUCGGCUGCAACUUCUUAAUUUUUGUUCAACCAAUCUUUUUCUAUUUGCGUAUGUCAAUUUCAUCUUUUCAUGCAUGUAUAUUGAUAGACUAAUU